UACGAAGGGGGCUAGCGUUGCUCGGAAUCACUGGGCGUAAAGCGCACGUAGGCGGAUUGCUAAGUCAGGGGUGAAAUCCUGGAGCUCAACUCCAGAACUGCCUUUGAUACUGGCGACCUUGAGUCCGGGAGAGGUGAGUGGAACUGCGAGUGUAGAGGUGAAAUUCGUAGAUAUUCGUAAGAACACCAGUGGCGAAGGCGGCUCACUGGCCCGGUACUGACGCUGAGGUGCGAAAGCCAGGGGAGCAAACGGG
rnacentral:rRNA from 1 species